rnacentral:rRNA from 1 species
UACGUAGGGUGCGAGCGUUAAUCGGAAUUACUGGGCGUAAAGCGUGCGUAGGCGGUUCUCCAAGUCCGUUGUGAAAGCCCCGGGCUCAACCUGGGAAUGGCAGUGGAAACUAGGGGACUGGAAUCUGGCAGAGGGGGGUGGAAUGCCGCGUGUAGCAGUGAAAUGCGUAGAGAUGCGGCGGAACACCGAUGGCGAAGGCAGCCCCCUGGGCUGAGAUUGACGCUCAGGCACGAAAGCGUGGGGAGCAAACAGGG